GAGUGGCGGACGGGUGAGUAAUGUCUGGGAAACUGCCUGAUGGAGGGGGAUAACUACUGGAAACGGUAGCUAAUACCGCAUAACGUCGCAAGACCAAAGAGGGGGACCUUCGGGCCUCUUGCCAUCAGAUGUGCCCAGAUGGGAUUAGCUAGUAGGUGGGGUAACGGCUCACCUAGGCGACGAUCCCUAGCUGGUCUGAGAGGAUGACCAGCCACACUGGAACUGAGACACGGUCCAGACUCCUACGGGAGGCAGCAGUGGGGAAUAUUGCACAAUGGGCGCAAGCCUGAUGCAGCCAUGCCGCGUGUAUGAAGAAGGCCUUCGGGUUGUAAAGUACUUUCAGCGGGGAGGAAGGUGUUGUGGUUAAUAACCGCAGCAAUUGACGUUACCCGCAGAAGAAGCACCGGCUAACUCCGUGCCAGCAGCCGCGGUAAUACGGAGGGUGCAAGCGUUAAUCGGAAUUACUGGGCGUAAAGCGCACGCAGGCGGUCUGUCAAGUCGGAUGUGAAAUCCCCGGGCUCAACCUGGGAACUGCAUUCGAAACUGGCAGGCUAGAGUCUUGUAGAGGGGGGUAGAAUUCC
rnacentral:rRNA from 1 species